rnacentral:rRNA from 1 species
AUUGAACGCUGGCGGAAUGCUUUACACAUGCAAGUCGAACGAUGAACCUUAGCUUGCUAAGGGGAUUAGUGGCGAACGGGUGAGUAAUGCAUCGGAACGUAUCCAAUAAUGGGGGAUAACUAGUCGAAAGAUUAGCUAAUACCGCAUACGUCCUACGGGAGAAAGCUAGGGACCUUCGGGCCUGGCGUUAAUGGAGCGGCCGAUAUCUGAUUAGCUAGUUGGUGGGGUAAAGGCUCACCAAGGCGACGAUCAGUAGCUGGUCUGAGAGGACGACCAGCCACACUGGAACUGAGACACGGUCCAGACUCCUACGGGAGGCAGCAGUGGGGAAUUUUGGACAAUGGGCGAAAGCCUGAUCCAGCCAUUCCGCGUGAGUGAAGAAGGCCUUCGGGUUGUAAAGCUCUUUCGCAAGAGAAGAAAACUUAAGCUCUAACAUAGCUUGAAGUUGACGGUACCUUGAUAAGAAGCACCGGCUAACUACGUGCCAGCCGCCGCGGUAA